rnacentral:rRNA from 1 species
UACAGAGGUCUCAAGCGUUGUUCGGAUUCAUUGGGCGUAAAGGGUGCGUAGGCGGCGCGGUAAGUCGGGUGUGAAAUUUCGGAGCUUAACUCCGAAACUGCAUUUGAUACUGCGGUGCUUGAGGACUGGAGAGGAGACUGGAAUUUACGGUGUAGCAGUGAAAUGCGUAGAGAUCGAUAAGGAAGACCAGUGGCGAAGGCGGGUCUCUGGACAGUUCCUGACACUGAGGCACGAAGGCCAGGGGAGCAAACGGG